UAAAACGGGGUCGGAGGAAGGCAAAAACCAACUAUCUAGAGAAACCACAGCAAGGGAACGUGCUUGGCAAAAUCAGCGGGGAAAGAAGACCUUGUUUAGCUUGACUCUAGUCCGACUUUGUGAAAUGACUUGAGAGGUGUAGAAUAAGUGGGAGUCGUUUUCGGUGCAAGUGAAAUACCACUACUUUUAACAUUAUUUUACUUAUUCCGUGGGGCGGAUGUUAGUUUUUUCAUAGCAUUUGGUUAAACUUUGAAGUUCAUUCCAUUUUAACAAUUUACCAUAACCAUAAAUGUUGCAGCAACCAAGAUCACAUGAAGAAGCACCAUGCACAAGAACACAAGAUAUAUCUUGGGAAACCCUUCUCAAACAAGGGAGAAAAACCCAGCCAAAUCCUUUGCUAUAUUCUUCAAGAGAAAGACCUUUCACCAAGAAUAUCCUAGCACACAAGAGGGUGCACAAAACCUAGAAAUCCUAGCGCCCAAGAGAGGUGCGCAACUUUGACCAAGAGAUGUAUUUGCUGAAAUUUCCAAAACUUGCAAGUGAGUGUGUGUCUACAAAUGAAAGAUUUCAUCUUUACUUAUAUUAGACUUGUCCUGUCAACUAAAGUGUCUAUUGGCACAAUAGGGUCGACUUCACUUAGACAUAUUUAUUUAUUUAU
rnacentral:ncRNA from 1 species